rnacentral:tRNA from 1 species
AGGGGUAUAGCUCAAUUGGCAGAGCGCCGGUCUCCAAAACCGGAGGUUGGGGGUUCGAUUCCCUCUGCCCCUGCCA